rnacentral:rRNA from 1 species
UGUGGUUUAUNUCGAAGCAACGCGAAGAACCUUACCANAUCUUGACNUCCUUUGACNACUCUAGAGAUAGAGCCUCCCCCUUCGGUGGGACCAAGUGACNGGUGGUGCAUGGUUGUCGUCAGCUCGUGUCGUGAGAUGUUGGGUUAAGUCCCGCAACGAGCGCAACCCUUAAGCUUAGUUGCCAUCAUUAAGUUGGGCACUCUAAGUUGACUGCCGGUGACAAACCGGAGGAAGGUGGGGAUGACGUCAAAUCAUCAUGCCCCUUAUGAUUUGGGCUACACACGUGCUACAAUGGACAAUACAAAGGGCAGCGAAACCGCGAGGUCAAG